rnacentral:tRNA from 1 species
AUUUAUUUAGUAUAUUAUGUACAUUUGACUUCCAAUCAAAAAGAUUGAACAUUCAAAAUAAAUA